rnacentral:rRNA from 1 species
GGGUCAGUAGGUUGGUCGUGCCACCGGUACGUACUGGUCUCACUGAUUCCUCCUUCCUGAAGAACCGUAAUGCCAUUAAUUUGGUGUUGCGGGGAAACAGGACUGUUACUUUGAAAAAAUUAGAGUGUUUAAGGCAAGCUAACGCUUGAAUACAUUAGCAUGGAAUAAUGGAAUAGGACGAUCGAUCCUAUUUUGUUGGUUUCUAGGAUUGACGUA